ACGCGAGCUGGGUUCAGAACGUCGUGGGACAGUUCGGUCCCUAUCCGUCGCAGGCGUAGGAAAUUUGAGAAGACCUGUCCUUAGUACGAGAGGACCGGGAUGGACGUACCUCUGGUGUACCAGUUGUCCUGCCAAGGGCAUGGCUGGGUAGCUAUGUACGGAAUGGAUAAGCGCUGAAAGCAUCUAAGCGCGAAGCCAACUUCAAGAUAAGAUUUCCCACCGCAAGGGUAAGACCCCAGAAAGACUAUCUGGUUG
rnacentral:rRNA from 1 species